rnacentral:ncRNA from 1 species
GGUCGACACUAGGGGAGCUCAUUGUAAUUGUCUUUUUUGAUUUACAAAAAAGAUUUACUUUGUGGCUGAGAACUUGAAACUCUCAUUACCUGAUCAGGUUAGCACCUGCGAAGGGAAGUUGUCGACCUCUUUCU